UACGGAGGGUGCGAGCGUUGUCCGGAAUCAUUGGGCGUAAAGGGCGCGUAGGUGGCCACUUCAAGCGUGCGGUGAAAGUCGGGGGCUCAACCCCUGAUCGGCCGUGCGAACUGGGGGGCUGGAGCACUGUAGAGGCAGGCGGAAUUCCGAGUGUAGAGGUGAAAUUCGUAGAUAUUCGGAAGAACACCAGUGGCGAAGGCGACUUACUGGACACAUAUUGACGCUGAGGUGCGAAAGCGUGGGGAGCAAACAGG
rnacentral:rRNA from 1 species